AACUGAUAUUAUGACAACCAUCUUUCAGAACCGACCUGAAAUGAAGAGAAUGCUCAUUGAUGAUCACUU